rnacentral:tRNA from 1 species
GCGUCUGUAGUGUAACGGUUAUCAUCAUUGCCUGUAAAGCAAUAGACCCGGGUUCGACUCCCGGCGGACGCA